UACGUAGGGUGCGAGCGUUGUCCGGAAUUAUUGGGCGUAAAGAGCUCGUAGGCGGUCUGUUGCGUCGGCUGUGAAAACCCGGGGCUCAACUCCGGGCCUGCAGCCGAUACGGGCAGACUAGAGUUCGGCAGGGGAGACUGGAAUUCCUGGUGUAGCGGUGAAAUGCGCAGAUAUCAGGAGGAACGCCGGUGGCGAAGGCGGGUCUCUGGGCCGAUACUGACGCUGAGGAGCGAAAGCGUGGGGAGCGAACAGG
rnacentral:rRNA from 1 species